AGGGCUGGGGCUCAGAGGUAGAGCGCCUGCUUAGCAUGCAGGAGGCCCUAGGUUUAAUCCCCAUCUCUA
rnacentral:tRNA from 1 species